rnacentral:rRNA from 1 species
GUAUUCUAGAUUUGAUGUGGUGUAGGAAUGUUAAUAGUAAUAGUGAAAUGUAUAUAGAAUUGGUAUAAAAUAAAUUGGAUAUUGGUAGCUUGAAAAGGUAGAUAUUCGAUUCACGAAAGCUUGAGGUGUGACAGGGAUUUGAGACCCCUUUAAUUCGAGACUGAAAUUAUGCAGGCAAUGUUUGUGGAUCUCUUUUUAACAAAUAAAGGUUCUUUUCCUAAGGAGUACGCUUUCACUUGUGAAACUUAAAUGUUCUGGUGGUGGUUUAGAACAAUAGUGGAAUAGAUGAUUUAAUUCGAUGAAAUGCGAUAAAGCUUAUCUGUUAUCUGAAAUAAUACCUAGGUAUAGGUAGAAUUCUAUUCGAGGUAGUGCAUGGCUGUUGGAGGGUAAUGUUUUGUAAUAUCUGGUUUCGGACAGGAAUAGCCGAUACACUUUUAGUUGUUAUAGGUCUUUUGCAUCUUUUCAUGAUGCAUGAUAUGAAUAAUGAAUGUGAUGCAUGAAUAGUAUGGUCUUUUAGAUAGAAUAACGUCGAGUCAUUAUGCUCUUUAGUUCGGAGAUAUUCAUGUGUUACUAGGAGAGGUAUAUA